UACGUAGGGUGCGAGCGUUGUCCGGAAUUACUGGGCGUAAGGAGCUCGUAGGUGGUUUGUCGCGUUGUUCGUGAAAACUCACAGCUCAACUGUGGGCGUGCGGGCGAUACGGGCAGACUAGAGUACUGCAGGGGAGACUGGAAUUCCUGGUGUAGCGGUGGAAUGCGCAGAUAUCAGGAGGAACACCGGUGGCGAAGGCGGGUCUCUGGGCAGUAACUGACGCUGAGGAGCGAAAGCGUGGGGAGCGAACAGG
rnacentral:rRNA from 1 species